rnacentral:rRNA from 1 species
CAGCAGCCACGGUAAUACGAGGGGGGCAAGCGUUGUUCGGAAUUAUUGGGCGUAAAGGGUGCGUAGGCGGUUUCUUAAGUCUGAUGUGAAAGCCCCCGGCUCAACCGGGGAGGGUCAUUGGAAACUGGGAAACUUGAGUGCAGAAGAGGAGAGUGGAAUUCCACGUGUAGCGGUGAAAUGCGUAGAGAUGUGGAGGAACACCAGUGGCGAAGGCGACUCUCUGGUCUGUAACUGACGCUGGGGAGCGAAAGCGUGGGGAGCGAACAGGAUUAGAUACCCCCGUAGUCCCUGUCUCUUAUAC